UUCAAGAUCAAGCAAUCUUGAGCUUAGGACAGUUAGAAAGAUUUGGUUGCUUUAUAUAAUUGAAUUAAUAGGCCGACCAACUAUGACACAAGUUUAGAGAACCAAAAUAUUUGACGCCCAAAUACUCAAAUCCAAAACCCAAAAUCGUCAGAAUACUAAAACAAACCACAGUGCAAAGAAGAGUAGAAUGAAAAAAAUUGAGAGAGAUGGGGAAGAAGAAAGGAGUACCAAAGUUUGAGGAAAUGGCACCACAUGACUUUGACCGGGCCGAUCCCUACGAGGACUCGGUGGCGAUGCUGGAAAUGAAGGAGCACAUAGUUCGAGAGAAAUGGAUCAACAAAGAGAAGGCGAAGAUCCUUCGAGACAAGUCAGGUGGUGUUAUCACAUUUAAAGAGUCAACCAUCUCUAGAAGUGUUGCCACUUCGUUCACCAGGACCUCGACGCCACUCGCAGCAUCGGUUGGGGCAAAGAUAGCCACCACCCCUCCCUCCAUGAUGUUCAAGAGAAUGUGGUGAUUUCGUUAAGAAUAAGUUCAAAGUUGUCAAUAUAAAUCUAAAAACCUAUUUUACUCAAGUCAGUCCACUACUACAACAACAAGUCUCACUCAAUUUAUGGUUCAUCAUCUGUACCUCCUCAACCUUAGAUACUAGAACAAAUUGAUAAGUGGAGGAUUGAGCUAAAGUUAAGCUUAGGUCUUUCAUGGAUCAAAUGAUGCAGUUGAUGGAGUCUAGACAAUUUCAGCCAAUACAAUUUUCUACACUUGAUGACGACAACACAUAUUCUAAAUCAAGAGAUGCAACAGCAUAAUGAUGUGUUUUUCAGGACUUUAUA